rnacentral:tRNA from 1 species
AAGGGCUUAGCUUAAUUAAAGCGUUUGAUUUGCAUUCAAUUGAUGUGAGGUAGGCUCUUGCAGUCCUUG